rnacentral:miRNA from 1 species
UGCAUUUUUUGGUAAGACGAUGUUAACAAAAGUUGUUCCCCUUGAUGAGGGCUACAACUUUGCUUAAUAUCCUUUUAACAAAUUAUGCGUAUUUAAGAAGAUAGGUCCGCGCAUGCGCAGAACGUAACUCCUUACGCUUGCAUUUUUUGUUAAGACGAUGUUAACAAAAGUUGUUCGUCUUGAUGAGGGCUACAACUUUGCUUAAUAUCCUUUUAACAAAUUAUGCG